GAUUAAGUUAUUAAGGGCGCACGGUGGAUGCCUUGGCACUAGAAGCCGAUGAAGGACGUUACUAACGACGAUAUGCUUUGGGGAGCUGUAAGUAAGCUUUGAUCCAGAGAUUUCCGAAUGGGGAAACCCAGCAUGAGUUAUGUCAUGUUAUCGAUAUGUGAAUACAUAGCAUAUCAGAAGGCACACCCGGAGAACUGAAACAUCUUAGUACCCGGAGGAAGAGAAAGAAAAUUCGAUUCCCUUAGUAGCGGCGAGCGAAACGGGAAGAGCCCAAACCAACAAGCUUGCUUGUUGGGGUUGUAGGACACUCUAUACGGAGUUACA
rnacentral:rRNA from 1 species